rnacentral:rRNA from 1 species
UACAGAGGUCUCAAGCGUUGUUCGGAUUCAUUGGGCGUAAAGGGUGCGUAGGUGGCGCGGUAAGUCGGGUGUGAAAUUUCGGAGCUUAACUCCGAAACUGCAUUCGAUACUGCCGUGCUUGAGGACUGGAGAGGAGACUGGAAUUUACGGUGUAGCAGUGAAAUGCGUAGAGAUCGUAAGGAAGACCAGUGGCGAAGGCGGGUCUCUGGACAGUUCCUGACAGCUGAGGCACGAAGGCCAGGGGAGCAAACGGG